rnacentral:rRNA from 1 species
UACGGGGGGGGCCAGCGUUGUUCGGAAUUACUUGGCGUACCGGGCUUGUAGGUGGCCAACUAAGUCAGACGUGAAAUCCCUCGGCUUAACCGGGGAACUGCGUCUGAUACUGGAUGGCUUGAGUGUGGGAGAGGGAUGCGGAAUUCCAGGUGUAGCGGUGAAAUGCGUAGAUAUCUGGAGGAACACCGGUGGCGAAGGCGGCAUCCUGGACCAUUACUGACACUGAAAAGCGAAAGCCAGGGGAGCAAACGGG